rnacentral:rRNA from 1 species
GUUCAUGGCUCAGGAUGAACGCUAGCUACAGGCUUAACACAUGCAAGUCGAGGGGAAACGACAUCGAAAGCUUGCUUUUGAUGGGCGUCGACCGGCGCACGGGUGAGUAACGCGUAUCCAACCUGCCCAUCACUUGGGAAUAACCUUGCGAAAGUAAGACUAAUACCCAAUGAUAUCCCACGAAGGCAUCCGAAUGGGAUUAAAGAUUUAUCGGUGAUGGAUGGGGAUGCGUCUGAUUAGU